GUGCCCAAUUCCCCAAACUUUUCCUAUAAUAUAAAGGGAAAAUAAAAGAUUGUUAUACUGAUAUUCCGUAAAAAUAAAACUGUCCUUUUCCGCUCCAAAAAAAAAUAUAAUUUAAUUCCGAGUUACGAUUAGUGUAAAUUCCUAAUAACCGUAAAGUGUAAAUUCUUAUAACUGUACACAUUUAGGCCUAAUCCCAAAUUCCAGGAAUAAUUAAGGUACAAUCCAAGAGUUCCGGCAAAUAUAAUGAACUAUUUGCCACUGGACGUAAUGUCUCUUGUUUGCGUGUAUUUAAGUGAUGCUCGAA
rnacentral:lncRNA from 1 species